AUUGAACGCUGGCGGCAUGCCUUACACAUGCAAGUCGAACGGUAACAGGUCUUCGGAUGCUGACGAGUGGCGAACGGGUGAGUAAUACAUCGGAACGUGCCUAGUAGUGGGGGAUAACUACUCGAAAGAGUGGCUAAUACCGCAUGAGAUCUACGGAUGAAAGCAGGGGAUCGCAAGACCUUGUGCUACUAGAGCGGCCGAUGGCAGAUUAGGUAGUUGGUGGGAUAAAAGCUUACCAAGCCGACGAUCUGUAGCUGGUCUGAGAGGACGAUCAGCCACACUGGGACUGAGACACGGCCCAGACUCCUACGGGAGGCAGCAGUGGGGAAUUUUGGACAAUGGGCGCAAGCCUGAUUCAGCAAUGCCGCGUGCAGGAUGAAGGCCUUCGGGUUGUAAACUGCUUUUGUACGGAACGAAAAGCCCCGGGUUAAUACCCUGGGGUCAUGACGGUACCGUAAGAAUAAGCACCGGCUAACUACGUGCCAGCAGCCGCCGUAA
rnacentral:rRNA from 1 species